AACGAACGCUGGCGGCAUGCCUAACACAUGCAAGUCGAACGAGACCUUCGGGUCUAGUGGCGCACGGGUGCGUAACGCGUGGGAACCUGCCCUUAGGUUCGGAAUAACUCCCCGAAAGGGGUGCUAAUACCGGAUAAUGUCUUCGGACCAAAGAUUUAUCGCCUUUGGAUGGGCCCGAGUUGGAUUAGCUAGUUGGUAGGGUAAAAGCCUACCAAGGCGACGAUCCAUAGCUGGUCUGAGAGGAUGAUCAGCCACACUGGGACUGGGACACGGCCCAGACUCCUGCGAGAGGCAGCAGUGGGGAAUAUUGGACAAUGGGCGAAAGCCUGAUCCAGCAAUGCCGCGUGAGUGAUGAAGGCCUUAGGGUUGUAAAGCUCUUUUACCCGGGAUGAUAAUGACGGUACCGGGAGAAUAAGCUCCGGCUAACUCCGU
rnacentral:rRNA from 1 species